rnacentral:rRNA from 1 species
CUCCUGGAAACGGGUGGUAAUGCCGGAUGUUCCACAUGAGCGCAUGCGAGUGUGGGAAAGGCUUUUUGCGGCAUGGGAUGGGGUCGCGUCCUAUCAGCUUGUUGGUGGGGUAACGGCCUACCAAGGCGUUGACGGGUAGCCGGCCUGAAAGGGCGACCGGCCACAUUGGGACUGAGAUACGGCCCAGACUCCUACGGGAGGCAGCAGUGGGGAAUAUUGCACAAUGGGCGCAAGCCUGAUACAGCGACGCCGCGUGCGGGAUGGAGGCCUUCGGGUUGUAAACCGCUUUUGUUCAAGGGCAAGGCACGGUUUCGGCCGUGUUGAGUGGAUUGUUCGAAUAAGCACCGGUUAACUACGUGGCCUCAGCCGCGAUAAUACGUAGGGUGCAAGCGUUAUCGGGAUUUAUUGGGCGUAAAGGGCUCGUACGCGGUUCGUCGCGGCCGGUGUGAUAGUCCAUCGCUUAGCUGAGGAUACGCGACGGCUACGG